rnacentral:rRNA from 1 species
UACGAAGGGGGCUAGCGUUGCUCGGAAUCACUGGGCGUAAAGGGUGCGUAGGCGGAUGUGUCAGUCAGGGGUGAAAUCCCGGGGCUCAACCUCGGAACUGCCUUUGAUACAGCACGUCUCGAGUCCGGAAGAGGUGGGUGGAAUUCCUAGUGUAGAGGUGAAAUUCGUAGAUAUUAGGAAGAACACCGGUGGCGAAGGCGGCCCACUGGUCCGGUACUGACGCUGAGGUGCGAAAGCGUGGGGAGCAAACAGGAUUGAGAAC